AAAAAAGCAGGGACUUGUUGUCUCAAUGAACUGGUCUCUCGUAAGCUUCAGGAACAUAGAUUGCAUUGUUAUUGGGUGAACCGUUGUAGGCUUGGCCUCUGACAAAAGGUUCAAAAAAUAAUGUUACAUAG